rnacentral:rRNA from 1 species
GAUGAACGCUGGCGGCGUGCUUAACACAUGCAAGUCGAACGAAGCACUUUAUUUGAUUUCCUUCGGGACUGAUUAUUUUGUGACUGAGUGGCGGACGGGUGAGUAACGCGUGGGUAACCUGCCUUGUACAGGGGGAUAACAGUUGGAAACGGCUGCUAAUACCGCAUAAGCGCACAGCAUCGCAUGAUGCAGUGUGAAAAACUCCGGUGGUAUAAGAUGGACCCGCGUUGGAUUAGCUAGUUGGUGAGGUAACGGCCCACCAAGGCGACGAUCCAUAGCCGACCUGAGAGGGUGACCGGCCACAUUGGGACUGAGACACGGCCCAAACUCCUACGGGAGGCAGCAGUGGGGAAUAUUGCACAAUGGGCGAAAGCCUGAUGCAGCGACGCCGCGUGAGCGAAGAAGUAUUUCGGUAUGUAAAGCUCUAUCAGCAGGGAAGAUAAUGACGGUACCUGACUAAGAAGC